UACGUAGGGUGCAAGCGUUAAUCGGAAUUACUGGGCGUAAAGCGUGCGCAGGCGGCUUCUCAAGUCAGGGGUGAAAGCCCAGAGCUCAACUCUGGAAUUGCCUUUGAGACUGAGUGGCUUGAGUACGAGAGAGGUGAGUGGAAUUCCCAGUGUAGGAGGUGAAAGUUCGUAGAUAUUGGGAAGAACACCGGUGGCGAAGGCGGCUCACUGGCUCGUAACUGACGCUCAUGCACGACAGCCGUGGGGAUCAAACAGG
rnacentral:rRNA from 1 species